AAUAGAUACCCCGGUAGUCCACGCCGUAAACGAUGAGUGCUAAGUGUUAGAGGGUUUCCGCCCUUUAGUGCUGCAGCUAACGCAUUAAGCACUCCGCCUGGGGAGUACGGUCGCAAGACUGAAACUCAAAGGAAUUGACGGGGGCCCGCACAAGCGGUGGAGCAUGUGGUUUAAUUCGAAGCAACGCGAAGAACCUUACCAGGUCUUGACAUCCUCUGACAACUCUAGAGAUAGAGUGUUCCCCCUCGGGGGACAGAGUGACAGGUGGUGCAUGGUUGUCGUCAGCUCGUGUCGUGAGAUGUUGGGUUAAGUCCCGCAACGAGCGCAACCCUUGAUCUUAGUUGCCAGCAUUUAGUUGGGCACUCUAAGGUGACUGCCGGUGACAAACCGGAGGAAGGUGGGGAUGACGUCAAAUCAUCAUGCCCCUUAUGACCUGGGCUACACACGUGCUACAAUGGAUGGUACAAAGGGCUGCAAGACCGCGAGGUCAAGCCAAUCCCAUAAAACCAUUCUCAGUUCGGAUUGUAGG
rnacentral:rRNA from 1 species